UACAGAGGUCUCAAGCGUUGUUCGGAUUCAUUGGGCGUAAAGGGUGCGUAGGCGGCGCGGUAAGUCGGGUGUGAAAUCUCGGAGCUUAACUCCGAAACUGCAUUCGAUACUGCCGUGCUUGAGGACUGGAGAGGAGACUGGAAUUUACGGUGUAGCGGUGAAAUGCGUAGAUAUCGGGAGGAACACCAGUGGCGAAGGCGGCUUUCUGGUCUGCUCUUGACGCUGAGGCGCGAAAGCUAGGGUAGCAAACGGG
rnacentral:rRNA from 1 species